UACAGAGGGGGCAAGCGUUGUUCGGAAUUACUGGGCGUAAAGGGCGCGUAGGCGGCCUGCUAAGUCGAACGUGAAAUCCCCGGGCUCAACCCGGGAACUGCGUCCGAUACUGGCAGGCUUGAAUUCGGGAGAGGGAUGCGGAAUUCCACGUGUAGCAGUGAAAUGCGUAGAGAUGUGGAGGAACACCGAUGGCGAAGGCAGCCCCCUGGGUCAAGAUUGACGCUCAUGCACGAAAGCGUGGGGAGCAAACAGG
rnacentral:rRNA from 1 species